ACUCCAUGAAGUCGGAAUCGCUAGUAAUCGCGAAUCAGAAUGUCGCGGUGAAUACGUUCCCGGGCCUUGUACACACCGCCCGUCACACCAUGGGAGUGGGUUGCUCCAGAAGUGGCUAGUCUAACCCUUUUGGGAGGACGGUUACCACGGAGUGAUUCAUGACUGGGGUGAAGUCGUAACAAGGUAGCCGUAGGGGAACCUGCGGCUGGAUCACCUCCUUAACGA
rnacentral:rRNA from 1 species